rnacentral:rRNA from 1 species
UACGUAGGGGGCGAGCGUUGUCCGGAGUUACUGGGCGUAAAGGGCAUGCAGGCGGUCGGUCGCGUUUCGGCUGACAGCGGGUGGCUUCACUACCCGAGUGGUCGAAAGACGGUUUGACUUGAGGACGCGAGAGGGACACGGAAUUCCGGGUGGAGUGGUGAAAUGCGUAGAGAUCCGGAGGAACACCGAAGGCGAAGGCAGUGUCCUGGCGCGUAACUGACGCUGAGGUGCGAAAGCCAGGGGAGCGAACGGG